rnacentral:rRNA from 1 species
UACAGAGGUCUCAAGCGUUGUUCGGAUUCAUUGGGCGUAAAGGGUGCGUAGGUGGCGGGGCAAGUCAGGUGUGAAAUCUCGGGGCUCAACCUCGAAACUGCACUUGAUACUGCCUUGCUUGAGUAUUGGAGAGGAGAUUGGAAUUUACGGUGUAGCAGUGAAAUGCGUAGAUAUCGUAAGGAAGACCAGUGGCGAAGGCGAAUCUCUGGACAAUUCCUGACGCUGAGGCACGAAGGUCAGGGGAGCAAACGGG